rnacentral:rRNA from 1 species
UGACAUACCACUUGUUGCCUCGGCGGAUCAGCCCGCUCCCGGUAAAACGGGACGGCCCGCCAGAGGACCCCUAAACUCUGUUUCUAUAUGUAACUUCUGAGUAAAACCAUAAAUAAAUCAAAACUUUCAACAACGGAUCUCUUGGUUCUGGCAUCGAUGAAGAACGCAGCAAAAUGCGAUAAGUAAUGUGAAUUGCAGAAUUCAGUGAAUCAUCGAAUCUUUGAACGCACAUUGCGCCCGCCAGUAUUCUGGCGGGCAUGCCUGUUCGAGCGUCAUUUCAACCCUCAAGCACAGCUUGGUGUUGGGACUCGCGUUAAUUCGCGUUCCCCAAAUUGAUUGGCGGUCACGUCGAGCUUCCAUAGCGUAGUAGUAAAACCCUCGUUACUGGUAAUCGUCGCGGCCACGCCGUUAAACCCCAACUUCUGAAUGUUGACCUCGGAUCAGGUAGGAAUACCCGCUGA